CUUAUGCUCUGAAUACAUUAGGAUGGAAUAACGUGAUAGGAGUCUGGUCCUAUUGUGUUGGCCUUCGGGACCGGAGUAAUGAUUAAUAGGGACUGUCGGGGGCAUUCGUAUUUCAUUGUCAGAGGUGAAAUUCUUGGAUUUAUGAAAGACGGACCACUGCGAAAGCAUUUGCCAAGGAUGUUUUCAAUAAUCAAGAACGAAAGUUGGGGGCUCGAAGACGAUCAGAUACCGUCCUAGUCUCAACCAUAAACGAUGCCGACCAGGGAUCGGCGGAUGUUGCUCUAAGGACUCCGCUAGCACCUUCUGAGAAAUCAGAGUGUUUGGGUUCCGGGGGGAGUAUGGUCGCAAGGCUGAAACUUAAAGGAAUUGACGGAAGGGCACCACCAGGAGUGGAGCCUGCGGCUUAAUUUGACUCAACACGGGGAAACUUACCAAGUCCAGACAUAGUAAGGGUUGACAGAUUGAGAGCUCUUUCUUGAUUCUAUGGGUGGUGGUGCAUGGUCGUUCUUAGUUGGUGGAGCGAUUUGUUUGGUUAAUUCCGAUAACGAACGAGACCUCAGCCUGCUAAAUAGCUACAUGGAGGUUCCCCUUCGCGGCUAGCUUCUUAGAGGGACUAUGGCCGUUUAGGCCAUGGAAGUUUGAGGUAAUAACAGGUCUGUGAUGCCCUUAGAUGUUCUGGGCCGCACACGUGCUACACUGAUGCAGCAAACGAGCUUUUCUUCCUGGUUCGAGAGGAUCGGGAAAUCUUCUCAAAUUGCAUCGUGAUGGGGAUAGACCGUUGCAAUUAUUGGUCUUCAACGAGGAAUUCCUAGUAAGCGCGUGUCAUCAACUCGUGUUGACUACGUCCCUGCCCUUUGUACACACCGCCCGUCGCUCCUACCGAUUGAAUGAUCCGGUGAGGUGUUCGGAUUGCAUCGACAAUGGUGGUUCGCCGCCAUCGACGUCGUGAGAAGUUCAUUGAACCUUAUCAUUUAGAGGAAGGAGAAGUCGUAACAAGGUUACCGUAGGUGAACUUGCGGUAG
rnacentral:rRNA from 1 species